CGGUCGGUACACAUUUGGGUAUUAACUUCAACCAUGAUGGUGCUGAGCAGAGGCUGAUGACGUCUGGCCAGAUAUCAGCAACCUUCCAUGGACCAGAGCCUGGACGGAACCUAGAAGCUGCGCAUUACCCCAGAAACCCCUCUGGGGCAUCCAACGUGGCCGCAUUUUGUUCACCAGAUGGAAGGGCUACUGCUAUGCUAAUUGAUCCCUCCCAGAGCUUCUUCCCUUGGCAGUGGCAAUAUGAUGCAGAAAAUCUUCAGUGCACCCCUUGGCAAAUUUGCUUUUUUAGAUUGUUGUUGUGGUCAUUGGCAUCUAGAGAUUAGGAGCUUAGUCUACAAACUGCCCUCCUGACAGAUUCUCCCAUCCUUUUCUUAAAAAUGGACCCAAACAGGCUCGUGAUAAGUGUCACGAGUGCACAGAAAAGUGAUUCCAGAAUCAUUGACGCUGUCCCUAGUGUUGCUAGGACAGUUCUAAUCUCACAGGUCUCUUGAACCCACCCUAGUCUCACAACCUCGUCAACCAAUGCUACAAUUUUACCUGGUACACAGAAGAUCAGAAAUAAAAUUGUUGUACAAAUGAAUGAAACAUAUAUCCUGUAUUUCUUACCCAUUCUCAUGCGCCGGACGCGACACACUACCAUAAUGAAACACACAAUGAUUAUCAAUACUGGAAUCCAAAUUCCCAGAAAUUGUUGGGCUAAUCUCACACUUACCCUAGUGGUCCCUCCUAGCUCCAUAGCACAUAUAAACGCACCAUGUGUUAUGAUCUGAGAUAGAUCCAGAGGCUUUACAAACACUGUCUCCACUGCAGCUGCCCCAAUUGCCAAAAUAACUGCAAACCAGGCCAGACACGCUCCAAAGCAUUUACUAUUCAAAAACAGCCUAUUUGGAGUCAUAACUAGCAAACACCUAUGUAUAGAAAUUAUCAUCAAUAUAAAUACAAUACAAAAGUCCAAGGUGCUUACAUAAAGGGUGAAUAAUACACACAAUAGCAUAGAUCCUGGCAUGGUGUACAGGAGGUGAGAUAUUUCUAGCACAUGAGCCAAAGAGGCCAACAUGCACACAAAACAAAAUACUAGCAUCAAAACAUCUGCCCCCUUACAUGCCGCCCUAUAUGCACAAAACACACACACUACCGUCAGAUUUCCAAGCACAGACAGAACAAACAUAAACAGAGCCAGUGCAAACAGUACCCCAUACUUGAGGGACACCGUACAGGGGCUCGCCAAAUCUGGAAUCCAGGUAGCAUUGUCAUAAUAAUCGUCAUAGGACAAUGAUGAGUUUUCUAAGAAUGCCUGAAGAUCUUCCAGGUCCAGGUCCCGCAGGACAAGCAUCGUGGCUCCGGUGUGGGGACACUCACUCAGUCUGUCUUUCUUGCAGAGUCAGAAGUAGAGAAACAGGAAGAAGGUCCCCUUUAAGGAGAACUGUGACACACCUGCCUACAGAAUUUAAAGCAUAAACACUUGACCCACACCCUUCCUGUGCUAAAAGUUGUGACUGUGUACUUUAUCUCUUUCAGAUAAUGCCCACAUCCCCACCGACUACACGCAACACAACCUCAGGCAAAACCAGAUCAGGGUGCAAACGUAGGUGCUUCAACAAACCAGCAGCCAUGCCUCCUAAAAGACGCCGCGCUCCAAAAAGACCAGCCCCUCCUCCACCACCGGGAUGCCAAGGUGAUGAGGAGUCCAGCCAGGGAACUCAAACGCCAAACCCCCCAUCACCACCAGUGCCCCCUUCAUCACCAACACUUCCCUCAUCCCCCGUCCCUCCUUCAUCACCAGUACAUGAGCCACCAUCUCCUUCCCCCCCACCAGCCCCACCAUCACCAGAUGUUGAUGUUGAAGGUUUAGAUGUAGGAGAGACAGACGAUCCCGGUCCCCCUCCACCAAAAAGAUACUCCAGGUAUCAAAAACCGCAUAAUCCAUCUGAUCCAUUGCCUAAAAAAUAUCAGGGAAUGCGAAGACACCUGCAGGUGACAGCACCCAGGUUAUUUGAUCCCGAGGGUCACCCCCCAACACAUUUUAAGUCAGCUGUUAUGUUUAGUAGCACACAUCCCUACACUUUGAAUAAACUUCACAAGUGUAUCCAAAGCAAACAUGUACUCUCAACACCAGUUAGCUGUUUACCCUUGGUACCAGGCACAACACAACAGUGUGUAACAUACUAUUUACUUUCAUUUGUUGAAGACAAGAAACAGGCCAAAAAACUAAAAAGGGUUGUCUUGGCCUACUGUGAAAAAUACCACAGCAGCGUAGAAGGUACUAUAGUCAAGGCAAAGCCUUAUUUUCCCUUACCAGAGCCCCCUACAGAGCCCCCUACAGACCCCGAGCAGCCAUCCACAAGUACACAAGCUUCUGGCACACAACAUGGUCCCACAGCAUCUCUGGAUGCCGGUGCAGAGCAAGGUGCCACAGGAUCACCUGGAUCUAGUCCAGGACAACAGGGACAAGGGUCUCAGACAAAGGGUGGGCGCGCCGACCCAGCUUUCUUGUACAAAGUGGUUGAUGCUGUUAUGGACCCAGAAACGCUGGUGAAAGUAAAAGAUGCUGAAGAUCAGUUGGGUGCACGAGUGGGUUACAUCGAACUGGAUCUCAACAGCGGUAAGAUCCUUGAGAGUUUUCGCCCCGAAGAACGUUUUCCAAUGAUGAGCACUUUUAAAGUUCUGCUAUGUGGCGCGGUAUUAUCCCGUAUUGACGCCGGGCAAGAGCAACUCGGUCGCCGCAUACACUAUUCUCAGAAUGACUUGGUUGAGUACUCACCAGUCACAGAAAAGCAUCUUACGGAUGGCAUGACAGUAAGAGAAUUAUGCAGUGCUGCCAUAACCAUGAGUGAUAACACUGCGGCCAACUUACUUCUGACAACGAUCGGAGGACCGAAGGAGCUAACCGCUUUUUUGCACAACAUGGGGGAUCAUGUAACUCGCCUUGAUCGUUGGGAACCGGAGCUGAAUGAAGCCAUACCAAACGACGAGCGUGACACCACGAUGCCUGUAGCAAUGGCAACAACGUUGCGCAAACUAUUAACUGGCGAACUACUUACUCUAGCUUCCCGGCAACAAUUAAUAGACUGGAUGGAGGCGGAUAAAGUUGCAGGACCACUUCUGCGCUCGGCCCUUCCGGCUGGCUGGUUUAUUGCUGAUAAAUCUGGAGCCGGUGAGCGUGGGUCUCGCGGUAUCAUUGCAGCACUGGGGCCAGAUGGUAAGCCCUCCCGUAUCGUAGUUAUCUACACGACGGGGAGUCAGGCAACUAUGGAUGAACGAAAUAGACAGAUCGCUGAGAUAGGUGCCUCACUGAUUAAGCAUUGGUAACCGGUUAGUAAUGAGUUUAAACGGGGGAGGCUAACUGAAACACGGAAGGAGACAAUACCGGAAGGAACCCGCGCUAUGACGGCAAUAAAAAGACAGAAUAAAACGCACGGGUGUUGGGUCGUUUGUUCAUAAACGCGGGGUUCGGUCCCAGGGCUGGCACUCUGUCGAUACCCCACCGAGACCCCAUUGGGGCCAAUACGCCCGCGUUUCUUCCUUUUCCCCACCCCACCCCCCAAGUUCGGGUGAAGGCCCAGGGCUCGCAGCCAACGUCGGGGCGGCAGGCCCUGCCAUAGCAGAUCCACUAGUAACGGCCGCCAGUGUGCUGGAAUUCAGGGACAUAAAUCACAUUCCCAGAAUAUAUCCUGGGCAACACCUUCGCCAGGGCAUGCAACAAGAAUGUAAAGCCAGUGGUCUGGAAUUUUCUCUGUGCCAAAAAUAUGUCUUCUAAUGGAAAAUGGUUCAUUAAAUUGUUUUCAAUAAAAAA
rnacentral:tmRNA from 1 species